rnacentral:rRNA from 1 species
AACGAACGCUGGCGGCAGGCCUAACACAUGCAAGUCGAGCGCGCCCUUCGGGGUGAGCGGCGGACGGGUGAGUAACGCGUGGGAACGUGCCCUUCUCUGCGGAAUAGCCUCGGGUAACUGAGAGUAAUACCGCAUACGCCCUUUGGGGGAAAGAUUUAUCGGGGAAGGAUCGGCCCGCGUUGGAUUGGGUAGUUGGUGGGGUAAUGGCCCACCAAGCCGACGAUCCAUAGCUGGUUUGUGAGGAUGAUCAGCCACGCUGGGACUGAGGCACGGCCCAGACUCCGACGGGAGGCAGCAGUAGGGAAUCUUAGACAAUGGGGGCAAACCUGAUAUAGCCAUGCCGCGUGAGUGAUGAAGGCCUUAGGGUUGUGAAGCUCUUUCAGCUGGGAAGAUAAUGACGGUACCAGCAGAAGAAGCCCCGGCUAACCACGUG